GGAUGUGAGGGCAAUCUGUCUACGACAUCUGUCACCUCAUUGAGCACCAGGGUUGAUUUGGCUGAUCUGACUGGCCAGGCAGGUGUACCCUUCCUCCCUUACCGCUCCAUGUGUGUCCCUCCCAAAGCUGCCUACUCAGUCAAAGAGGACAACCUUCCUGGAAUAGAGGAGGACUGGUCUUCGGUCAAGGGUAUACGAGCAGCUGUGCUCCCCUGCUAGAACCUCCAGGCAAGCUCUCAGGAUCUUGACAGGUAGUCUCUCCAAAUUGAAUGAAAGUAUAAGCAAACU
rnacentral:snRNA from 1 species